rnacentral:rRNA from 1 species
GAUGAACGCUGGCGGCGUGCCUAAUACAUGCAAGUCGAGCGAACAGACGAGGAGCUUGCUCCUCUGACGUUAGCGGCGGACGGGUGAGUAACACGUGGAUAACCUACCUAUAAGACUGGGAUAACUUCGGGACACCGGAGCUAAUACCGGAUAAUAUAUUGAACCGCAUGGUUCAAUAGUGAAAGACGGUUUUGCUGUCACUUAUAGAUGGAUCCGCGCCGUAUUAGCUAGUUGGUAAGGUAACGGCUUACCAAGGCAACGAUGCGUAGCCGACCUGAGAGGGUGGUCGGCCACCCUGGAACGGAGACACGGUCCAGACUCCUACGGGAGGCAGCAGUAGGGAAUCGUCCGCAAUGGGCGAAAGCCUGACGGAGCAACGCCGCGUGAGUGAUGAAGGUCUUCGGAUCGUAAAACUCUGUUAUUAGGGAAGAACAAAUGUGUAAGUAACUAUGCAUGUCUUGACGGUACCUAAUCAGAAAGCCACGGCUAACUACGUG